AUUAUUGAAACUUGAGGUGGAACCAAAGUCGAAUACAAAGUCCAAACAAGGGAAACUAAGCCGGCAGACAACAUAAAAGUCCCCGGAAACUAAGCCGGUGGAAAACGUAAAUUCUCCGGAAACUAAGCCUUAAGCAAGGGAAACACAACCACUAAUACAAAGCAGAAAUUUCAAAGCCAAAACGAAAGAGAUCGAAACCAUAAACUAAGAAUAGAGGCAAACAAACUUAAACCCGAAGAGAAACCACAAGGCCCAAGCACAAAACAUGACCUUUUCUUUUGAGACACCUGCGAAUGAGAUUUACCAAUGCUGCCCACGGCCAACCCAUUUAUAACAACUGCCUCCUCCUAUCAUGAUGAGAGAUGAGCUCUCGAAACCAAGACUUCAUAACCCGGCAAGAAAAGGCCAAAACUGAACCUCGUAAGAUACUUCCGAAUGCGGCGAAGACGAAGCGUCAUGGAGCGCCUAGAUAAAAGUCUUAAAGAAGCAAUCCAAACACACCCGAUUCGGAAAUGCAAAGACAAGGAGAAAAACCUAACCAUCUCGAGGAACAAGGAUCAUGAAAUUAAGCACGACACUCAGACCGAAAUGGUAAUCAUCCACAACGUCCUCCACCAAAGAGAAGACAAUUUUGAAAACCUAGAACGAUGCACAAUCCUUCACACAAAAAACCUCCACAAAGAACAGAGACGAUCCAAACGAGAGACUGCUAGCUAAAACAACACAAGGAAGUGACAACGGAAAGACAAAGGCAUGAAGAAGACUGACGAGAGACCUCACAUCAGCUAAGCCGGCGGCAUCAAAACAACAAAAAGCACAAGAGCGAGAACAAGGUCUGGGUUGGGAAGAGCAAGAAACAAUGGCACUAUUACAGACAAAGCUCACCGUCGAUCAAACAGAUCCG
rnacentral:lncRNA from 1 species